rnacentral:rRNA from 1 species
GGGUUGUGAGGUUAAGCGACUAAGCGUACACGGUGGAUGCCCUGGCAGUCAGAGGCGAUGAAGGACGUGCUAAUCUGCGAUAAGCGCCGGUAAGGUGAUAUGAACCGUUAUAACCGGCGAUAUCCGAAUGGGGAAACCCAGUGUGACUCGUCACACUAUCAUUAACUGAAUCCAUAGGUUAAUGAGGCGAACCGGGGGAACUGAAACAUCUAAGUACCCCGAGGAAAAGAAAUCAACCGAGAUUCCCCCAGUAGCGGCGAGCGAACGGGGAGGAGCCCAGAGCCUGAAUCAGCAUGUGUGUUAGUGGAAGCGUCUGGAAAGGCGCGCGAUACAGGGUGACAGCCCCGUACACAAAAGCGCAUGUGCUGUGAGCUCGAUGAGUAGGGCGGGACACGUGGUAUCCUGUCUGAAUAUGGGGGGACCAUCCUCCAAGGCUAAAUACUCCUGACUGACCGAUAGUGAACCAGUACCGUGAGGGAAAGGCGAAAAGAACCCCGGCGAGGGGAGUGAAAAAGAACCUGAAACCGUGUACGUACAAGCAGUGGGAGCACAGGUUUACCUGUGUGACUGCGUACCUUUUGUAUAAUGGGUCAGCGACUUAUAUUCUGUAGCAAGGUUAACCGAAUAGGGGAGCCGGAGGGAAACCGAGUCUUAAUUGGGCGUUAAGUUGCAGGGUAUAGACCCGAAACCCGGUGAUCUAGCCAUGGGCAGGUUGAAGGUUGGGUAACACUAACUGGAGGACCGAACCGACUAAUGUUGAAAAAUUAGCGGAUGACCUGUGGCUGGGGGUGAAAGGCCAAUCAAACCGGGAGAUAGCUGGUUCUCCCCGAAAGCUAUUUAGGUAGCGCCUCGUGAAUUCAUCUCCGGGGGUAGAGCACUGUUUCGGCUAGGGGGCCAUCCCGGCUUACCAACCCGAUGCAAACUGCGAAUACCGGAGAAUGUUAUCACGGGAGACACACGGCGGGUGCUAACGUCCGUCGUGAAGAGGGAAACAACCCAGACCGCCAGCUAAGGUCCCAAAGUCAUGGUUAAGUGGGAAACGAUGUGGGAAGGCCCAGACAGCCAGGAUGUUGGCUUAGAAGCAGCCAUCAUUUAAAGAAAGCGUAAUAGCUCACUGGUCGAGUCGGCCUGCGCGGAAGAUGUAACGGGGCUAAACCAUGCACCGAAGCUGCGGCAGCGACGCUGAUGCGUUGUUGGGUAGGGGAGCGUUCUGUAAGCCUGCGAAGGUGGCCUGUGAGGGUUGCUGGAGGUAUCAGAAGUGCGAAUGCUGACAUAAGUAACGAUAAAGCGGGUGAAAAGCCCGCUCGCCGGAAGACCAAGGGUUCCUGUCCAACGUUAAUCGGGGCAGGGUGAGUCGACCCCUAAGGCGAGGCCGAAAGGCGUAGUCGAUGGGAAACGGGUUAAUAUUCCCGUACUUGGUGUUACUGCGAAGGGGGGACGGAGAAGGCUAUGUUGGCCGGGCGACGGUUGUCCCGGUUUAAGCGUGUAGGUGUGUGUUCCAGGUAAAUCCGGUUCACUUUAACACUGAGGCGUGAUGACGAGGCACUACGGUGCUGAAGCAACAAAUGCCCUGCUUCCAGGAAAAGCCUCUAAGCAUCAGGUAACAUCAAAUCGUACCCCAAACCGACACAGGUGGUCAGGUAGAGAAUACCAAGGCGCUUGAGAGAACUCGGGUGAAGGAACUAGGCAAAAUGGUGCCGUAACUUCGGGAGAAGGCACGCUGACACGUAGGUGAAGUGAUUUACUCAUGGAGCUGAAGUCAGUCGAAGAUACCAGCUGGCUGCAACUGUUUAUUAAAAACACAGCACUGUGCAAACACGAAAGUGGACGUAUACGGUGUGACGCCUGCCCGGUGCCGGAAGGUUAAUUGAUGGGGUCAGCGCAAGCGAAGCUCCUGAUCGAAGCCCCGGUAAACGGCGGCCGUAACUAUAACGGUCCUAAGGUAGCGAAAUUCCUUGUCGGGUAAGUUCCGACCUGCACGAAUGGCGUAAUGAUGGCCAGGCUGUCUCCACCCGAGACUCAGUGAAAUUGAACUCGCUGUGAAGAUGCAGUGUACCCGCGGCAAGACGGAAAGACCCCGUGAACCUUUACUAUAGCUUGACACUGAACAUUGAGCCUUGAUGUGUAGGAUAGGUGGGAGGCUUUGAAGUGUGGACGCCAGUCUGCAUGGAGCCGACCUUGAAAUACCACCCUUUAAUGUUUGAUGUUCUAACGUGGACCCGUGAUCCGGGUUGCGGACAGUGUCUGGUGGGUAGUUUGACUGGGGCGGUCUCCUCCUAAAGAGUAACGGAGGAGCACGAAGGUUGGCUAAUCCUGGUCGGACAUCAGGAGGUUAGUGCAAUGGCAUAAGCCAGCUUGACUGCGAGCGUGACGGCGCGAGCAGGUGCGAAAGCAGGUCAUAGUGAUCCGGUGGUUCUGAAUGGAAGGGCCAUCGCUCAACGGAUAAAAGGUACUCCGGGGAUAACAGGCUGAUACCGCCCAAGAGUUCAUAUCGACGGCGGUGUUUGGCACCUCGAUGUCGGCUCAUCACAUCCUGGGGCUGAAGUAGGUCCCAAGGGUAUGGCUGUUCGCCAUUUAAAGUGGUACGCGAGCUGGGUUUAGAACGUCGUGAGACAGUUCGGUCCCUAUCUGCCGUGGGCGCUGGAGAACUGAGGGGGGCUGCUCCUAGUACGAGAGGACCGGAGUGGACGCAUCACUGGUGUUCGGGUUGUCAUGCCAAUGGCACUGCCCGGUAGCUAAAUGCGGAAGAGAUAAGUGCUGAAAGCAUCUAAGCACGAAACUUGCCCCGAGAUGAGUUCUCCCUGAGACUUAAAGUCUCCUGAAGGAACGUUGAAGACGACGACGUUGAUAGGCCGGGUGUGUAAGCGCAGCGAUGCGUUGAGCUAACCGGUACUAAUGAACCGUGAGGCUUAACCUUACAACGCCGAAG